AAAGGGUGUGUAGGAGGUCGGGUAAGUCAGGUGUGAAAUCUCACAGCUUAACUGUGAAACUGCGCUUGAUACUGCUCGGCUAGAGGAUCGGAGGGGGUAUCGGAAUUUAUGGUGUAGCAGUGAAAUGCGUAGAUAUCAUAAGGAACACCGGUGGCGAAGGCGGAUACCUGGAAGAUUCCUGACUCUGAAACACGAAAGCCAGGGGAGCAAACGGGAUUAGAUACCCGGGU
rnacentral:rRNA from 1 species